rnacentral:tRNA from 1 species
GCCCGUUUGGCUUAGUGGUACAGCGUCUCACUCGUAAACUUCUGCGUAAUGAGAAGAUCCUCGGUUCGAUUCCGAGAAUGGGCA